CUCAUCACGAGCGGUGGAGGGAACUGGCCCAGUGAAGCCGCAGCAACCAUUGCUUUGUCAAACGGUGCUAAGUCCUUACGAGAAAUCGCAAGAUGAG
rnacentral:ncRNA from 1 species